UACGGAGGGGGCUAGCGUUGUUCGGAAUUACUGGGCGUAAAGCGCACGUAGGCGGCUUUGUAAGUUAGAGGUGAAAGCCCGGAGCUCAACCCCGGAACUGCCUUUAAGACUGCAUCGCUUGAACGUCGGAGAGGUAAGUGGAAUUCCGAGUGUAGAGGUGAAAUUCGUAGAUAUUCGGAAGAACACCAGUGGCGAAGGCGACUUACUGGACGACUGUUGACGCUGAGGUGCGAAAGCCAGGGGAGCGAACAGG
rnacentral:rRNA from 1 species